rnacentral:rRNA from 1 species
CACGUAGGGGGCGAGCGUUGUCCGGAAUCAUUGGGCGUAAAGAGCUCGUAGGUGGCUCAGCAAGUCGGGUGUGAAAUUCUCAGGCUCAACCUGAGAACGCCACCCGAUACUGCUGUGGCUAGAGUCCAGUAGGGGAGUGUGGAAUUCCCGGUGUAGCGGUGAAAUGCGCAGAUAUCGGGAGGAACACCAGCGGCGAAGGCGGCACUCUGGGCUGGUACUGACACUGAGGAGCGAAAGCGUGGGUAGCGAACAGG